rnacentral:rRNA from 1 species
AAAACAUUUUCCCUCUCUAGUAUGGGCGACAGAAAGAGACCCGGGAGCUAUAGAGACAGUACCGCAAGGGAAGGCUGAAAGAGAGAUGAAAUAGGACAAUCAAGCAAGGAAAAGCAGAGCUUAAGCCUCGUACCUUUUGCAUCAUGAGUCAACUAGUAUAAGCAAGCAAGGCGCGCCACAGUUUGCCCCCCCGAAACGAAGUGAGCUACUCCAGGACAGCCUUUUUACAAGGGCCAACCCGUCUCUGUGGCAAAAGAGUGGGAAGAUCCUCGAGUAGAAGUGAAACGCUUACCGAACUUCGUUAUAGCUGGUUGCCUGGGAAAUGAAUAUUAGUUCAGCCCCUUAUAUUCUUACACUCCCCAAGGAAAUUACCAGAAUGUAGGACAGCUAAAGACAUAAAGGGAGUUAUUCAAAGGGGGUACAGCCCCUUCGAAUUAAGACACAACUUUCUAAGGUGGUUAAGGAUUAUACACACUUAUAAGGGUAAUACCAUAGUGGGCCUGAAAGCAGCCAUCUAUUAAGAAAGCGUUAUAGCUCAAGCGCAAAAGCAACCCAUACAUGCCAGUAAAACUAUCCAAAACCCCGUCACGGACCAGGCCUUUCCACAGAGUGGAAGGGAAUAUGCUGAUAUGAGUAACAAGAGACCCCACGUCUCUCCCAGCAUAUGUGUAAAUCGGCGCGGACUAGCCACCGAAAAUUAACGGCCCCAAUCAAUGAGGGUAAUGAAUCACAGUAGAUCAUCUGGAAAAUCAAUCAUUACUAUCCCGUUACCCCUACACUGGUAUGCCCAAAGGAGGACUAAAAGAGAAAGAAGGAACUCGGCAAACUAAUUAAGCCUCGCCUGUUUACCAAAAACAUCGCCUCUUGCUAAAACCUAGAAUAAGAGGUCCAGCCUGCCCAGUGACACUAUGUUUAACGGCCGCAGUAUAUUAACUGUGCGAAGGUAGCGCAAUCACUUGUCUUUUAAAUGAAGGCCUGUAUGAAAGGCGUAACGAGGGCUUAACUGUCUCCUUUUUCAGGUCAGUGAAAUUGAUCUCCCCGUGCAGAAGCGGGGAUUAACACGUAAGACGAGAAGACCCAGUGGAGCUUGAGACAACAGGGCAGCCCAUAUCACCAGCCUUUUAAGGAGCUCAAGCUUGCUUGGAUCCUGCUUCAAUGUCUUCGGUUGGGGCGACCAUGGAGGAGACCCAACCCCCAUGUAGACUGGGACCCCCCUGGAAGACAUCUCUACCAAACCUUAGUACUCCUAGAAACUAGAGGCACUGCUCCAAUUAACGGAAUAUUCGACUAACAUUGAUCCGGGACAACCCGAUCAACGAAAUAAGUUACCCCUGGGAUAACAGCGCAAU